GAUGAAGAACGCAGCGAAAUGCGAUAAGUAAUGUGAAUUGCAGAAUUCAGUGAAUCAUCGAAUCUUUGAACGCAUCUUGCGCUCCUUGGUAUUCUGAGGAGCAUGCCUGUUUGAGUGUCAUUAAAUUCUCAACUACACUGACUUUGAAUUGGUGUGGCUUGGAUUUGGGGGGAAAAUUGUUGUGGGCUUUUUGUAUAGUCUGCUCCCCUGAAAUUGAUUAGCGGUACCUUUGUGGAACUGUCUACAUGUGUGAUAAUUAUCUACAUCUUAGACAUCUGCUGGAAUGCUGCUUUCUAAACCUUACUUGUAUUGACAAUCUUGACCUCAAAUCAGGUAGGACUACCCGCUGAACUUAAGCAUAUCAAUAAGCGGAGGA
rnacentral:misc_RNA from 1 species